UAGGCUAUUUAAACAUUGGUCGUCCAUAUCAAACGUUGAAAGGGUCAGCCCAGAAUCCAAAAAGUCACUUUUUGACGCCAUUUAAAUGUUCGAUCCCGCCAAUCCGACGUCUAUAAACUAUUCAAACGUUGCCCCCCCUUACCCUGACGCCAAUGGACUGCGAAAAGUGAUUGUUUCAUUGCCAUUAGGAUUUUGUCGAUCAUCCCCGACAUCAAAAUAGGGCUUAGAAGUCGGCCUCCCCCAUCCCGAACGUCUAAAGUGUGCGCCAAAAUUAAAUUUUAAAUGCUUUAAACGUCAGCUAGGCAGGAGAGUAGACGUUUAAAGCCAUUGAGACGUCGGCUAGGGGGAGCUAACGUCUAAUUGCCUGCUAUGACCAAACCCGCGCGUGAGGCAGCAGUUACGCGCACUCACUAUUCAUCAUCUUCCUCGCGUUUUCUCUCCACCGGCUACAUUUUUCAGGUUGAACUAUUUUGGUACUG
rnacentral:lncRNA from 1 species